AUUUUAAUAAAAAACGUAACAAAUAAAAAAAAAAGAAAACUCCCACAUCGGUAAUAUUCAUCUAUCACUUUGAGUGUUUUGCCACAGAUGGCGCCUCCAGUGAAAAGCGCAGAUUUUUAAUUUCAAAAAUAUAACAAUUUCAUUAGACCUCAAGCACUCACAAAAAAUAAUUUUUAAGGGAAUAUUAUAGGGGAAGUGAACAUAAUUACAUAGAUAAUUAACUAAUAAACAUUUUCAGAAUCUUUUAAACGAUGUUGUUAAGGAAUAACACUUUAUUCAGUUCAUUCUAUGCUUACACAUAAUGUAAAUUAGAUAUAUAUAUGUAUAUGUAUAAAUAACUAUAAUUCAUUACAGAAAGAAGCAAUAAAUACAUGCCACAGUUGCAAAGUACAAUAACAUCUUAUUAUGUAAUUCAAAUGGAAACAAUAUACAGAGAGUACCAACAAUUACUUAAUAAUUUAUUAUUAUCUAUGAAUCGAAGAAAUAUUUAAAGACGUUACGAUAUAGCAACCAAAACGUAUCGUUACAACUUUCGCUUUUAUCAAUUUCAUGUGUUUUAUUAUCUAGUGGUAAAUCUAGAAUUCAACAGAACGCCUAUUCACUUAUUUGUUAUUAAGUUCCAGGUCCGAUUGAUGUAGCCGACGAUGCGAUGUUAACUGUAAUUAAUAACACAGGUGUCUAUAAUAGGAUUAAUAAUGUAUAUACCCAUUGUCCAACGAUGAACGAUAAUGUAGGCAUAGCGAAGUCAUUGAAACGUACAGUAUCUAAUUCUUGAUUCCGGUCACUCGUUGUCCCUUCGCUUUCUGAAAAGUCGUUAUCUCGCAAAUGUGGAUCGAAUCUUUUCCCGUGACCACCAUAGCAAGAGUGACCAAACACUGAGCAACCACCUGUAAGAAAAAAGGUAAAACACAGACACGACCAUCCACCACGAAUAAAAUAAUAUUCUCCAUUUAAAAGUCGAAAUAAUGUAUUCGCAAACCAUAGAAAUCAAAUUUUACAUAACAAUGGACACGAGUGUAAUUGUUAAACGCGAUGCACAGACAGAAAUGCGGAACGCGACGGAAGCCGCUCAUUCAUAGUUAAAAUAAUGAAUCGAUCAUCGGGCGUCGAAUGAACAGGGCCGCUUCACGCGACCGGAUAAAUUGAGAACUAAAUCGAAAAAAAAUAGUAAAGCCUCAAAUAAAAACGUGAUUCAUUCCACGCAAUCGGCGAAGGAAAGCGCGGCAAAAGUAAAAAUGGAAAAGAAUGAACGAUAUCGUCGCACGUGAAUUCAUUCACUCAAUUAUUAUCGUGAAUAAAGCCGAGGCUUAAUACGUUCGCGGCCAGCGUCACAUAUUUGUGAUGUUCAACAUUUUAUAUCUGGCAUAAAGAAAAACUAAAGUAAAUUACUAUCACGCAUAUUUGUAUCUAAAAUUCUAACGUAUGGUGUAAAGUAUUGGAAGUUGACGCGAUUGUUAAGACGCGAGAACGGGAAAUCCCAUAAUCACUUUAUUGCUCGAGACCUCAGGUCAGCUGGUUGCCAAAUGUUCACAUAACCGAAGUACUCAAGCCGACAGUAUGUUAAGGCCGUUGUAGUACUGUCCGUUGCAGCGAACCUGACACUCUCAUUUGAGUGGGCAGAUUCCAAGGCACACGCCCUGCUUACAUGAAUUUUCGGUUCUGGUAUACCAUUCGCUGAGGCACUCGCGUACAUUAAUCGG